ACCGUAUUUCUUCUUUUCUCCUCGUCCGUACAGCCUCCAACUCCGCGAUCUCCUUCCCUUCGCUGCGGCCGCUGCCGCCUCCCGCCCCCGCGGCCCUCCUCUGCCCCAACACCCAGCGGCCGCCGAAGCCUCCUCCACCCCACGGCCCUCCUCUAUCCCGCCUCUGCCCGGCUCGCCCCUGGUCGCCGCGAUCUCCUUCCCUUCUCUGCGGCCGCCGCCGCCUCCCACCACCGCGGCCAUCCUCUGCGCCGCCACCCAGUGGCCGCCGACGCCUCAUCCACCCCACGACCCUCCUCUGUCCGACUCGCCGCUCGCCCGCCGCCGCCGCGAUCUCCACCUACGAUCCGCGCAUGCCGUCGGAGGCACGCGACGAGGAGGCUGCCGACGCUGCCUCCUCCCCUCCGAGGCCCUCCUCUGACCCGCCUCCCACCAAGCCCUCCUCGGCCCUGCCUCUGCCCGCCACGCCCGUUUGCCAGCCGGCGCCGGCGUUCUCCACCUGCGAUCCACGGCCGCCGUCAGAGUCUCCCGGGUCCUCAAUUCCGUGACACUACACCGGAUAAGAAGUGGUAGAACCCUGCAAGGAUGGUGAUGUUUUACCCAGAAGGAUGGCAAAUUCAGAAAUACUGCGUAUUUGAUCAAAGGAAGCAUGCCUUAGACUGCUGUCCUGUUUUCUGGCUUGCUUGCAAUGUACUCCCUCCGUUCCAUAAUUCUUGUCUCAAAUUUGCCCAAAAAUGGAUGUAUUUAUUCCUAAAAAGCGUCUAGAUACAUGUAAUAUUUCGAUAAGAAUUAUGGAACGGAGGGAGUACAAAGAUUUGCACCAAUUUUCUUUUCUGGGUCAUUUUCUCAUGAUAUAGCAGUGAAGGGUUAGGGUCCUUUGUAGGGCCAUUUUGGUAGAGAAUCAGUUUGUUUCCCAUAUGAAUCUUUUUAUUCAUGGAAGAGCAAACAGAAGUUGAAAGUUUACAACAAGAGGGUAGCUUUUCAAAGGAUAUUAAGGAUUUUGAUCAUGUCCUGUUCAUGGAAGAAAAGUGUGAUUUUUUCUUGAAGUGCAAAUUAUAAUGUGACCGUCAUAAGGACGUUCAUGUCCUGUUCAAUGGAAGAUCACAUAUGGGUGUUGGGGGCAAAUAACAGUCCUGUGCAUGUGACCGUUCUGAACUUUUUAACACUGAACUUUUCAACACUAAAUUAAACCGUAUCUGGGAAAAGAAUAGUCCAAUUUUAAUGUUUUUCUUACAACAUUAAUAGCAGUAUAUGGGUGUUCUGGGCAAAGAAUAGUCCAAUUUUAAUUUUUUUGUUACAACAUUAAUAGCAGUAUAUAUGGCUUAAUUGUUUUUUUUUCUUGCAUUGCUUUUAUGUGGAAAAUUUUAUGGGCACACAUCGGCCACACCUUCCCUUCUUAACCAUCAACGCACUGAAUAAUAUCCACAAUAUUCUCUGUUAGGUUAUUAUUGUUUGAACUUUGAAGUAGAGCAGCAAAAUGCAGAGGAUAUGCACCUCCUUAUGAUGGUUAAUUUUUCAGGUCCUGGAACAAUAAUUGAUCAAGUAUGUAUAGAAUUCACCAUUCUGCAUGCUUCGUAUAGAAAUAAGGUGCAAUAUCCUAUUUGUAUUCAUUGACGUUCUUUUGUUAUAACGGUCCAAACCUACGACACAUCAUCCAAGUCACAAUAUUUAUCGUCAUAUCGUUUGUAUUGACCUGAUGAUUAUAUUCUUCUUAAAGGUGAAAUCUACUCAAGCUAAAGUUGAUUUGAAUGAGGUGCAGAUGUGUUGUUUCAAUUUUGUGCAAUUGAAGUUUGUUUGUGUCACGUCCGACUCAUGUUCGCGUGGUUUUCCGGUGAAGAUGCAUCUGAAGCUUCAGUUUUGUGUUUGUAUAAUUAAAUUAGCAUUUGUAAUUAGGUGACUGAUCAACGGAGAAAUUCUUUGCUCUCAGCGCAGAGUAAGAAACAACAAGCACAAAGGAGCGGCUCUUGGAAGAACUGGUUGGACUAUGUGCUCUACCUUCUCCACAGUUCAUUUCAGAAAUCACUGGUUUCAGAUUCUUUAGGUUCUUUUUUCUCCAAAUAGUGAGCAGGUUUGCACCAGGCUCUCACUUCACUCUUGGAAAGAAACUUGGAAUUGGUAGCCCACUGUUGGGAAUAUAGAAAUAUACAUGUUGUAUUCACGGUGAGAAGAAUUGGAUCGAAGUUUGAUGUUGCUGCGUGCAAGCAUUUUCAGUUUCUGAGAUGCUUUCUCUUCUAGCGUUUUGUUUCAUGGUGCACCAGAUUGUAGUGAUUAGGCCUUAUGUUCUUUUUUCUCCAAAUAGUGAGCAGGAUGACUAUGAAGUUAUUCGGAAAGCUGGGAGAGGCAAAUACAGUGAAGUCUUUGAGUGAAUCAAUGGUAACAAUAGUUAGAAAUGUGUUAUUAAGAUACAAUAAUGAGAAAUGUUAUUAAGAGCUUCAGUAGCGAUUUGAGAGAACAGAAAUGUUUGGCCUUGAGAUUUUUUAUCCUUGCAGCAUAAUAUAAGUUUUACUCCCAGUGGGUACUGUUAUUGAA